UCAAUGAUGUUUCCAAAAAGUUUGGUUAGAUAGGCAUGCAUAACCAGUAAAAAAUACAGAUAUUGGGCUUCUUUUGGUAAAAACAAGCAAAUGAAGCACAACUAAAGAGACAAAUAUCUACUCUCGACCAUCUACUCAUGAGUAGUUAAUUAUGGUUGUAAGAGAAUGAAAGUCUCUUCUUAUCCAAGAAUUUUUGUCGUCAUAACCUACUUUAUA
rnacentral:lncRNA from 1 species